AUUGAACGCUGGCGGCACGCCUAACACAUGCAAGUCGAGCGGUAACAUGGAUGGUAGCAAUACCAUCUGAUGACGAGCGGCGGACGGGUGAGGAAUAUGUAGGAACUUGCCCAAAAGAGGGGGACAACCAAGGGAAACUUUGGCUAAUACCGCAUAAACUCGGAAGAGUAAAGCAGCCUGUAAGGGUUGCGCUUUUGGAGAGGCCUGCACCCGAUUAGCUAGUUGGUGAGGUAAGAGCUCACCAAGGCAAUGAUCGGUAACUGGUCUGAGAGGACGGCCAGUCACACUGGGACUGAGACACGGCCCAGACUCCUACGGGAGGCAGCAGUGGGGAAUAUUGGACAAUGGGGGCAACCCUGAUCCAGCGAUGCCGUGUGGGUGAAGAAGGCCUUCGGGUUGUAAAGCCCUUUAGGUUGGGAGGAAGGGUGUAGUCGGAUAAUGAUUACACUUUGACAGUACCGACAGAAUAAGCACCGGCAAACUCUGUGCCAGCCGCCGCGGUAA
rnacentral:rRNA from 1 species